ACCUGCAAACAUGUUGAUCAAAGAGUACCGUAUACCACUGCCCCUCACCGUCGAGGAGUACCGGAUUGCCCAGCUGUAUAUGAUAGCGAAAAAGAGCCGAGAGGAAAGCCAUGGCGAAGGCAGCGGAGUUGAAAUCAUAAUCAAUGAGCCCUACAAAGAUGGACCCGGAGGCAAUGGGCAGUACACGAAAAAGAUUUAUCACGUGGGCAGUCACUUGCCGGGCUGGAUAAAAAGCUUAUUACCAAAGAGCGCUUUGACCGUUGAGGAGGAGGCAUGGAAUGCCUAUCCGUAUACGCGCACACGCUACACCUGUCCCUUUGUGGAGAAAUUCUCACUGGAUAUCGAGACCUAUUACCAUCCGGACAAUGGGUACCAGGAUAAUGUAUUCCAGCUAUCGGGCAGCGAUCUGCGCAAUCGCGUUGUGGAUGUGAUUGAUAUUGUCAAGGAUCAGCUGUGGGGCGGCGAUUACGUGAAGGAGGAGGAUCCCAAGUAUUUUGUAUCAGAGAAGACGGGCCGUGGCCCGCUGGGCGAUGAUUGGCUGGAGGAGUACUGGCGCGAGGUGAAGGGCAAGAAGCAGCCGACGUCCCGCAAUAUGUCCCUGAUGACGGCCUAUAAGAUCUGUCGCGUCGAAUUCCGCUAUUGGGGCAUGCAGACCAAGCUGGAGAAGUUCAUACACGAUGUGGCGCUGCGGAAGACAAUGCUGCGGGCCCAUCGCCAGGCCUGGGCGUGGCAAGACGAAUGGCACGGCCUCACCAUUGAGGACAUACGCGAGCUGGAGCGCCAGACGCAGCUGGCUCUAGCUAAGAAAAUGGGCGGAGGGGAGGAGUGCAGCGAUGACAGCACCUCGGAGCCAUAUAUGAGCAGCGCCACCGCAGCCCCCGCAUCGGGCACGAGUGAGCGCAAUAAAUCAGCGCCGGCUGUGCCGCCCAUUGUCACCCAGCAGCCGCCGAGCGCCGAAGCCAGUUCAGAUGAGGACGAUGAGGACGACGAUGACGAGGAUGAGGAUGGCGUCGGCACCAAUGUGGAGCUGGGUGCCCAGACCAGUGGCAAUCAACGUUCCCGCUCCCAAAGCAUUCAGCUGGCCAACAAGGCCAAGUUCGGCUCGAAGGGCGCCCUGCAUUCGCCCGUGGGAUCUGCGCACAGCUUUGACCUGCAGUCGAAAAAAGCGCAUGGCAAGCCAGCAGUACGCCGUCAUGUGGCCAACUGGCGCAUGGAACGUCUGGAAGUGGACUCCAAAUCGAACUCGGAUGAAGAGUUCUUCGAUUGCUUGGACACAAAUGAGACCAACUCGCUGGCCAAGUGGAGCUCACUGGAGCUGUUGGGCGAGGGCGACGACAGUCCGCCACCGCAUGGCGGCAGCUCCAGUGGCAGCGGUGGUGCUGGCAGCGUGGCCGGGCGCCACAAGCAGGAUGACAGCAUAUUCAAUCAGGACUUUCUGAUGCGCGUCGCAUCGGAGCGCGGCAAUAAGCGUCAGCUGCGCUCCUCGGCCAGCAUCGAUCGCAGUCACGACUCGUCGCCGCCGGGCUCGCCGAGCACGCCCUCUUGCCCCACAACCAUACUGAUGCUGGUGGUGCACGCCGGCAGCGUUCUGGAUGCGGCCAGUGAGCUGACCGCCAAGAAGUCGGAUGUGACCACCUUUAAGGGCUCCUUCGAGGCCGUCAUGCGCCAGCACUAUCCCAGCCUCUUGACGCACUUGACUAUUAAGAUGGUGCCAUGCCCUUCGAUUUGCACGGAUGCCCUGGGCAUACUGUCGAGCCUCAGUCCGUAUUCGUUUGACGCGUCGCCCUCGGCCGCGGACAUACCCAAUAUAGCGGAUGUGCCCAUCGGAGCCAUACCGCUGCUGGCCGUGGCCUCGCCCGAAUUCCAGGAGACGGUGAACAAGACGGUGGCCGCUGCCAAUAUUGUCUAUCAUGAGUUCCUUAAGUCGGAGGAGGGCCACGGCUUCUCGGGCCAGGUGGUCAUGCUGGGCGACUCCAUGGGCUCACUGCUGGCCUAUGAGGCUCUCUGUCGCUCCAACGGCAGCCAGCCGAAUGCCGGCAAUCCGUCGCAGGCCGCCGGCCACAGCCAAGCCGGCGGCGCUGGCACUGGCGCUGGCGAUUGUAGUCGCAUGUCGCGCAUGGAUGACGAUGAGCGCUUCAUUGACUCCGACUUGGAUGCGAAACGUUUGCUGGUGGCACCAUCGCCGCGACGUCGUCGCUCCAGCUCCUCCAGCGAUUCGCGUGCCACCAAGCUGGACUUUGAGGUCAGCGACUUUUUCAUGUUCGGCUCACCGCUGUCGGUGGUCCUGGCCGCACGGAAGCUGCACGACUCAAAGACCGCCCUGGCCCGCCCCAAUUGCCAUCAGGUGUACAAUCUGUUCCAUCCAACCGACCCGAUUGCCUCACGCUUGGAGCCCCUGCUGAGUGCACGCUUCUCCAUUUUGUCGCCGGUGAAUGUGCCGCGCUAUGCUAAAUAUCCGCUGGGCAAUGGACAGCCGUUGCAUUUAUUGGAGGUAAUACAAUCGCAUCCGCAGCACUUUAACGACGGCAAUAAUUUGCUCUCUGCGGGCCGACGACUCUCCGAUGCAUCCAUGCAGAGCACCAUCUCGGGCCUCAUUGAGAAUGUCUCGCUCAGCACCAUACACUCGCUUCAGAACAAAUGGUGGGGCACAAAGCGUUUGGAUUACGCUCUUUAUUGUCCCGAGGGGCUGAGCAAUUUCCCGGCACAUGCCCUGCCGCAUCUAUUCCAUGCCAGCUAUUGGGAGAGUCCCGAUGUGAUUGCCUUCAUAUUGCGGCAAAUUGGCAAAUUCGAGGGCAUACCGUUUGUGGGCUCCCACGAUGACAAGGACAACGCUUCGUUCCAUCCGGGGCAGCCGCGUGAGAAGUGGAUCAAGAAGCGCACGUCCGUCAAGCUCAAGAAUGUGGCGGCCAAUCAUCGGGCCAACGAUGUCAUCGUGCAGGAGGGACGGGAGCAGCGAUUGAAUGCACGAUUCAUGUACGGACCGCUGGACAUGAUCACGCUGCACGGCGAGAAGGUGGACGUGCACAUUAUGAAGGACCCGCCGGCGGGCGAAUGGACAUUCCUCAGCACCGAAGUGACCGAUAAAAAUGGCCGCAUCUCGUACACCAUUCCCGAUCAUUUGUCUCUCGGCUAUGGCAUCUAUCCGGUCAAGAUGGUGGUGCGCGGCGAUCACACGUCUGUGGACUGCUAUAUGGCUGUGGUGCCGCCGUUGACCGAGUGUGUUGUGUUUAGCAUUGACGGCUCCUUCACGGCAUCCAUGUCGGUGACUGGGCGUGAUCCGAAGGUGCGCGCUGGCGCCGUCGAUGUCUGCCGCCAUUGGCAGGAGCUGGGCUAUCUGCUAAUCUACAUUACCGGACGGCCGGACAUGCAGCAGCAGCGCGUCGUCUCCUGGCUCAGCCAGCACAAUUUUCCCCACGGCCUGAUUUCGUUCGCCGACGGCCUAUCCACCGAUCCGUUGGGCCACAAGACCGCCUAUCUCAAUAAUCUCGUGCAGAACCAUGGAAUCUCAAUUACCGCCGCUUACGGCAGCAGCAAGGAUAUUAGCGUGUACACCAAUGUGGGCAUGCGGCCGGAACAGAUCUUCAUUGUGGGCAAGGUGGGCAAGAAACUGCAAUCGAAUGCCACGGUGCUCAGCGAGGGCUAUGCCGCCCACUUGGCUGGCCUGCAGGCCGUCGGUGGCUCCCGUCCGGCUAAGGGCAAUGCGCGUAUGGUCAUUCCGCGCGGCUGCUUCAAUCUGCCGGGACAGUCGGCAAAUCCGCGACGCAGAAGGCUGCAUGAACAAGCUACCAAUGAAGUUUAAAAACGUUUACCAACACUGUAGAUAUGCAACACCGUGAUGCAUUAGAUAAACCGUUAUAAAACCAAACACAAGAAAUUAAACAGAGACAAGAAAGAAGAAAAAAAUCAAAGGAAAAUACUAAAUGCAAAUUUGGUGUAUAGUGUUCGUAAAUUAAUAUAUUUAGUUGAGUUGAUCUGUUUGAUAUGCUUUUAAUGCAUUUUAGAGGAGCAUUGUGUUAUUCAGUGCUCUGGCUGCAAACAGAAAUGAAAAGGAAAAGAAAAAAUAUAGUAUUUAUGCCUACAAUUGGAAAAAACGCAAUCAACUGAAAUCUUUCUCAACUUUUCCUCUGUCUCUUUUUUCACAAAAAAAAAAAAAAAAAAAAAAAUCCCUCUUUGUGAAACUUUAUUUUACAAACAUUUUCCCAUUGAAUCUACACAAAACCCCAACACACACACAUACACACACACACGAACAUGCCACAAAUGCAUCGUCAACUUGACAUCGUUUCAAAUGUGCAGCAAUGAGACGGGCCUAUCAUCGCCGAUACGCAGUGGCUAUCUUAAACGCAAAACCUACCUGAGCCAUCACUAGAUCGAUCCCAGCAGAGGAGCAACCUAACAGAGAGCGUCAUAAUAGACAAGCGAUAGAGAGAGAUAGCGAGAGCGUGAGCUUAGAGACAAAUGUGUGCGUGAUGAGUAAUGCAUUUUAGUUUAUAGCAUAUCGAUGUGCAAAACUAUCGAUUAAUAUAACGCAACCAGCAACUCCCACAAAUACAAGCCAUGCAACUAGCAAUCAACUAUAUUUAUAAUAAUAAAUAAACCAGCAUAUACCUAUCAAACAAAACGCUUCGUACAUGUUUAGAUGACAUCUAAACAUACUAUUGGAUCAGCAUUAGUUGCAGUUUAACAACAACAACAAUAGCAACAACAACAUCUCAGCAUCGAUUGCCACCAUAUGCAACAUCUGUGUAUAUACAUAAAGCCCGUUAUAUUAUGCGCAAUAUAUAGCCAACUACAUAGUAUAUGGUGUAUAUACAAUAUACAAGAUACAAAAUAUAUAUAUAUAUAUAUACAUGAAAAAUUCCAAAAAUGAUAAAAAAAAAAACUAAAUCAAUUGUACAACAUAUAACAAAAGUCAAAUGUGUCACGCGGUACCUGGAAAGAAAGACUGUUUCCUCCUGUUGUUUGAUGGUUUUUCAAACCACAUAAAGAGUAAAAACAAAAACAAAUCACACAAAAUUAAUGAAACAAAAAGGAAAAGAAAAAAAUUAAUGAACAGCUUAUAUAUAUACAAAUAAAUAUGUAUGUGUGGGCACCUAUGUAUAUGUAUGUAGUAUGUGAGCUUAUAUGCUAUAAUUGUAUAACAAAAAACAAAGUCAACCCAUACAUAUAUACAUAUAUAUUUAAACCGUUUAACAUACAUAUGAAAAUAAUAAUAAUAAUAAAAAAAAAAAAAGAGUAAACAAAACAAAGCGAACAAAGUUCAAUAAAUGUGGUAUAAAAACAUGAAUGUUGAUAACAAUUGAAGCUAAGUACAACUUGCAGUUGGUAAUACAAAGAGAUCUCGCUCAGAGAACGGCUCUAUGUAGCUCGCAGAGGUAAAAAGCGUUGCAAAAUCAAACGACAAAUUCAAUGCAUUUCCGAAACCAAACAAAACAAACAGUUUAAAUAAAUAAAAUAUAUAUUGAAAUUG